AAUGCGGUAUCGACUUAGUGCAGAAAUGUACACGUUGAUAAGAAGUGAGUUGUCGAGGAGGGGGCAGGAAGCUUCUUGCUUUUAUGGCUCGUGUGAUUCGUUUUUAUUGAAAGUUCUUUUUAUGGCAACAGGUACCGUUAAGUGGUUCAAUGACUCCAAAGGUUUUGGCUUCAUCACUCCAGAUGAUGGCGGCGAGGAUUUGUUCGCACACUUCUCCGCAAUCAACAUGAGCGGCUUCAAGACUCUCAAAGAAGGUCAAAAAGUUCAGUUCGAAGUCACGCAAGGCCCUAAAGGCAAGCAAGCUUCCAAUAUCCAGGCAAACUAAGCGUUUCCCUGGUGUAUUUAAAAAACCCCGCGUGCGGGGUUUUUUUUC
rnacentral:other from 1 species